rnacentral:ncRNA from 1 species
CCUUAUUGCGAGCGGCUGAGGGAACAGGCCCGAUGAAGCCCGACAACCUGCCUUGCGGCAAGGUGUCAAUUCCUGCGGUGAAAACCGGAAGAUAAGG